rnacentral:rRNA from 1 species
AUUCUGACUGUGCGAAGGUAGCAUAAUAAAUUGUCUUUUAAAUGAAGGCUUGAAUGAAAGGUUGGACAAAGUGUCAUCUGUUUCUUAAAUAUUUAUUGAAUUUGACUUUCAAGUGAAAAGGCUUGAAUAAAUUAAAAAGACGAUAAGACCCUAUAAAUCUUUACAAUAAAUAUAUUUUAUAUUUUAGUUUAUUAAGUGUAUAAGAUAUUGAAUAUAUAGUUGUUUCGCUGGGGCGGCGUGGAUAUAUUAAUAAACUGUCUAUACAUUAAAACCAAUAAUUAUUGAUUAAUAAGAAUGAUCCUUAAACAGAUUAGAAGAUUAAGAUACUUUAGGGAUAACAGCGUUAUUUUUUUUGAGAGUUCUUAUCGAAGAAAAAGUUUGCGACCUCGAUGUUGAAUUAAAGUAUCUUUAUGGUGCAGCCGCUUAAGAGAU